rnacentral:rRNA from 1 species
AACGUAGGUUCCGAGCGUUAUCCGGAUUUACUGGGCGUAAAGCGCGUUCAGGCGGUUUGGCAAGUCGGGCAUGAAAUCUCUCGGCUCAACCGGGAGAGGUUGUCCGAUACUGCUGGACUUGAGGGCAGUAGAGGGUGGUGGAAUUCCGGGUGUAGUGGUGAAAUGCGUAGAUAUCCGGAGGAACACCGGUGGCGAAGGCGGCCCACUGGGCAGUCACUGACGCUGAGGCGCGAAAGCUCGGGGAGCGAACGGG